UAGGGAAUCUUCGGCAAUGGACGAAAGUCUGACCGAGCAACGCCGCGUGAGUGAAGAAGGUUUUCGGAUCGUAAAACUCUGUUGUUAGAGAAGAACAAGGACGUUAGUAACUGAACGUCCCCUGACGGUAUCUAACCAGAAAGCCACGGCUACUACGUGCCAGCAGCCGCGGUAAUACGUAGGUGGCAAGCGUUGUCCGGAUUUAUUGGGCGUAAAGCGAGCGCAGGCGGUUUCUUAAGUCUGAUGUGAAAGCCCCCGGCUCAACCGGGGAGGGUCAUUGGAAACUGGGAGACUUGAGUGCAGAAGAGGAGAGUGGAAUUCCAUGUGUAGCGGUGAAAUGCGUAGAUAUAUGGAGGAACACCAGUGGCGAAGGCGGCUCUCUGGUCUGUAACUGACGCUGAGGCUCGAAAGCGUGGGGAGCAAACAGG
rnacentral:rRNA from 1 species